rnacentral:rRNA from 1 species
CCUACGGGUGGCAGCAGUGAGGAAUAUUGGUCAAUGGGCGCGAGCCUGAACCAGCAACGUAGCGUGAAGGAUGAAUGCCCUCCGGUUUGUAACCUUCUUUUAUAAGGGAAUAAAGUGAGGCAGGUGCGCCUUUUUGUAUGUACUUUAUGUAUAAGGCUCGGCUCACUCCGUGCCAGCAGCCGCGGUAAUACGGAGGAUCCGAGGGUUAUCCGGAUUUAUUGGGUUUAAAGGGAGCGUAGAUGGGUUGUUAAGUCAGUUGUGAAAGUUUGCGGCUCAACCGUAAAAUUGCAAUUGAUACUGGCAGUCUUGAGUACAGUAGAGGUAAGCGGAAUUCGGGGUGUAGCGGUGAAAUGCUUAGAUAUCACGAAGAACGCCGAUGGCGAAGGCAGCUUACUAAACUGCCACUGACACUGAUGCUCGAAAGUGUGGGUAUCAAACAGGAUUAGAUACCCUUGUAGUC